GAUGAACGCUGGCGGCGUGCCUAAUACAUGCAAGUCGAGCGAACAGACGAGGAGCUUGCUCCUCUGACGUUAGCGGCGGACGGGUGAGUAACACGUGGAUAACCUACCUAUAAGACUGGGCUAACUUCGGGAAACCGGAGCUCAUACCGGAUAAUAUAUUGAACCGCAUGGUUCAAUAGUGAAAGACGGUUUUGCUGACACUUAUAGAUGGAUCCGCGCCGCAUUAGCUAGUUGGUAAGGUAACGGCUUACCAAGGCAACGAUGCGUAGCCGACCAGAGAGGGUGAGCUGGCACACUGGAACUGAGACACGGUCCAGACUCCUACGGGAGGCAGCAGUAGGGAAUAUGCCACAAUGGGCGAAAGCCUGACGGAGCAACGCCGCGUGAGUGAUGAAGGUCUUCGGAUCGUAAAACUCUGUUAUUAGGAAAGAACAAAUGUGUAAGUAACUAUGCACGUCUUGACGGUACCUAAACAGAAAGCCACGGCUAACUACGUG
rnacentral:rRNA from 1 species